rnacentral:rRNA from 1 species
UGGGGAAUCUUCCGCAAUGGACGAAAGUCUGACGGAGCAACGCCGCGUGAGUGAAGAAGGUCUUCGGAUCGUAAAGCUCUGUUGUACGGGACGAAUGUUGGAGGGGUGAAUAAUGCCAUCAAAUGACGGUACUGUACGAGGAAGCCACGGCUAACUACGUGCCAGCAGCCGCGGUAAUACGUAGGUGGCGAGCGUUGUCCGGAAUUAUUGGGCGUAAAGGGAGCGCAGGUGGGAAGGUAAGUCUGUUUUAAAAGCGUCGGGCUCAACCCGAUGAGGGAACAGAAACUAUUUUUCUUGAGUGCAGGAGAGGAAAGCGGAAUUCCUAGUGUAGCGGUGAAAUGCGUAGAUAUUAGGAGGAACACCAGUGGCGAAGGCGGCUUUCUGGACUGUAACUGACACUGAGGCUCGAAAGCCAGGGGAGCGAACGGGAUUAGAUACCCCGGUAGUCCUGGCCGUAAACGAUGGAUACUAGGUGUAGGAGGUAUCGACCCCUUCUGUGCCGGAGUUAACGCAAUAAGUAUCCCGCCUGGGGAGUACGAUCGCAAGAUUG